rnacentral:rRNA from 1 species
GGGGAAUAUUGCACAAUGGGGGAAACCCUGAUGCAGCGACGCCGCGUGGAGGAAGAAGGUCUUCGGAUUGUAAACUCCUGUUGUUGAGGAAGAUAAUGACGGUACUCAACAAGGAAGUGACGGCUAACUACGUGCCAGCAGCCGCGGUAAAACGUAGGUCACAAGCGUUGUCCGGAAUUACUGGGUGUAAAGGGAGCGUAGGCGGGAUGCCAAGUCAGCUGUGAAAACUAUGGGCUUAACUUGUAGACUGCAGUUGAAACUGGUAUUCUUGAGUGAAGUAGAGGUUGGCGGAAUUCCGAGUGUAGCGGUGAAAUGCGUAGAUAUUCGGAGGAACACCGGUGGCGAAGGCGGCCAACUGGGCUUUAACUGACGCUGAGGCUCGAAAGUGUGGGGAGCAAACAGGAUUAGAUACCCUGGUAGUCCACACUGUAAACGAUGAUAACUAGGUGUGGGGGGUCUGACCCCUUCCGUGCCGCAGCUAACGCAAUAAGUUAUCCACCUGGGGAGUACGACCGCAAGGUUGAAACUCAAAGGAAUUGACGGGGGCCCGCACAAGCAGUGGAGUAUGUGGUUUAAUUCGACGCAACGCGAAGAACCUUACCAAGUCUUGACAUCCGUUGACCGCUGUAGAAAUACAGUUUUCCUUCGGGACAGCGAGACAGGUGGUGCAUGGUUGUCGUCAGCUCGUGUCGUGAGAUGUUGGGUUAAGUCCCGCAACGAGCGCAACCCUUAUGGUCAGUUACUACGCAAGAGGACUCUGGCCAGACUGCCGUUGACAAAACGGAGGAAGGUGGGGAUGACGUCAAAUCAUCAUGCCCUUUAUGACUUGGGCUACACACGUACUACAAUGGCGUUAAACAAAGAGAAGCAAGACCGCGAGGUGGAGCAAAACUCAGAAACAACGUCCCAGUUCGGACUGCAGGCUGCAACUCGCCUGCACGAAGUCGGAAUUGCUAGUAAUCGUGGAUCAGCAUGCCACGGUGAAUACGUUCCCG